rnacentral:rRNA from 1 species
AACGAACGCUGGCGGCGUGGAUAAGACAUGCAAGUCGAACGGGACAGGUAGCAAUAUCUGUCUAGUGGCGAACGGGUGCGUAACACGUGGGCAACAUGCCUGGAAGAGCGGGAUAGCCCGGGGAAACUCGGAUUAAUACCGCAUGUGACAACGGGGCGGCUUCGCCCUGUUUUCAAAGGUGGGGACCGCAAGGCCUGCCGCUUCCAGAUUGGCCCGCGUCCUAUCAGCUAGUUGGCGGGGUAAAAGCCCACCAAGGCGACGACGGGUAGCUGGUCUGAGAGGACGACCAGCCACACUGGAACUGAGACACGGUCCAGACACCUACGGGUGGCAGCAGUCGAGAAUCUUUCACAAUGGGGGAAACCCUGAUGGAGCGACGCCGCGUGGAGGAUGACGGUCUUCGGAUUGUAAACUCCAGUCAUGAAAGAACAAGCGGAGCGGGUGAACAGCCCGCCGAGUUGAUAGUAUUUCAAGAGGAAGGGACGGCUAACUUCGUGCCAGCCGCCGCCGUAAAAC